rnacentral:ncRNA from 1 species
AUUCCGGUUGAUCCCGCCUAUUAUUAUAUGCUUGCCUCAAAGAUUAAUCCAUGCAUGUCUAAUACACACCAAAUAACCAUGAAACCGCCAAACGCUCAUUAUAACAUUUAUGGUUCACUAAAUCGUUAACAGUUACCUAGGAAAACU